GGGGGGGUACCUGUUGACUUGGGAAGGGCCAGGAUCGCGAUCAAUGUGCCAUUUUUGGUAUUCUUACAUGGACACGUCACCCCCAUUUUAGGAAAACUUGUAUUUGGUUUGAAAAGGAAUUGAAAUCGACGUUAUCCUACCUUCACCACUUACCGCUGAUAAAUUGACCACGUUUAUAUUCGGAUGAGUGGUGAGAAAGAUAAUUUUCCGUAGAAGAUUAGUGUGUGCGUGCACGUGUACGAAUGAACUGUAAUUAUGUUUGCCCAUACUAGACUUUGAGAUUUAUUUGGGCUAAUUUUGUAGUUGAAUGCCUGUGUGUCACAUCCCAGUACAGCUAGAUGAAAACUUGCAGUGAAUUUGGUAUUUGACAAUUUAGCUUGAAUGUAUGUUGGCUGCAAUUUAAAUAAUAUAUUACCUUCAUGACAGUUUUGCUUUCCCUAGGGAAAAAUGCAGGGAAUCAUUAACGGAGUGGUUCUUAAUGGAAAACCUGGAUUGGAGGAUACGUGUAUUUCCCCCCACUCCCCCCCAUUCAAUGUCCUUAUAUUGGGAGAAGUCAAUGGAAACCUUUUGAGGGGAUCUUUGUUGCUUUAGAGUUUAUCUGUUGCUAUCUGGAAUCAGUGAUCGUCGAAAGAACAUGCGAUCCCAGGACUUCCUGAUCCAUUUGCUAAGGUGAUAGUUGUUGGAUCUGGGCAAUGCCAUUCUAUAGAUACUGUGAAGAAUAUGCUCGAUCCAAAGUGGAAUCAGCAUUAUGACCUGUAGGUUUAAACGAUUAGCUUGAAAUGAAACAUACAAUUAAUAUUACUUGAUAUAGUCUUUGAAAAGAAUCGUGGGAAAUGAUCUGAGUUUCAUCUAUGGUAUAAUUUGGUCUUCACAAAAGGUAAAGAAAAGCCCAGUGGGAAUGUGCUUUUGUUUAUAGACAGAUUUCGAAAGAUGAGAUAUCCCUAAAAUGCUAUGAGGAAAAAAAUGAAACUGGCUCACAGUAGAGCAGUCUUCCCCACUUUUUUCAAUUAAAUAGAGGUAUUAAUUCGCCACUUUAGACCAAUUAUAAAACCAGAAAUCAGAAUUUGGUUUGCACUGAAUAGACAUUCUUUUUGCCUUUAUGUAGAUGGUUUCUUUCUUUUAAAUUUUAUUUUGAUCAUAGGAGUAUAUGCACCUUUUUAAAAAGGCAAAUGAUACUAUAAAAGUUUUAUGGAAAACAGCAAGGUCCCUGCUCUUUUCUCAUUCCUGAUUCCCAUCCUCAAGGAAACUGCUUUAAUAACUUUGGCUGUUUAUUCUGGUAUUUUCAUCUUUUCUAGAUAUGUUCCUUAUUUUAUACCAUGACAGUUUUCUUUUUUUAGUUUUACGUAAUUUUUUUUUUUUCUUUGAGACAGAGUCUUGCACUGUCACCCAGGCUGGAGUGUAGUGGCACCAUCUUGGCUCACUGCAAUCUCUGCGUCUUGGGUUCAAGCAAUUCUCCUGCCUCAGCCUCCCGAGUAGCUGGGAAUGCAGGUGCCCACCACCAUGCCCAGCUAAUUUUUGUUCUCAGCAGGAAAAAGAAUGAAGAGUAAUGACAAAAGAUCCGGGCUGUUGCUGGCAGGUUGGGCGUUUGGUGGCAUCAGCAGCUGGAUCAGCCUUGUUGAGUGGGAGCCCUGCUGCUCUG